GUGUCAGCCGCCGCGGUAAUACGGAGGGUGCAAGCGUUGUUCGGAAUCACUGGGCGUAAAGCGCGUGUAGGCGGCCAUUUAAGUUUGGUGUGAAAGCCCUGGGCUCAACUCAGGAAGUGCACUGAAUACUGGGUGGCUGGAGUACCGGAGAGGAGGGUGGAAUUCCUGGUGUAGCGGUGAAAUGCGUAGAUAUCAGGAGGAACACCGGUGGCGAAGGCGUCCCUCUGGCCGGAUACUGACGCUGAGACGCGAAAGCGUGGGGAGCAAACAGGAUUAGAUACCCUGGUAGUCCACGCCAUAAACGAUGGGCACUAGGUGUUCGGGGUAUUGACUCCCUGAGUGCCGCAGCUAACGCAUUAAGUGCCCCGCCUGGGGACUACGGCCGCAAGGUUAAAACUCAAAGGAAUUGACGG
rnacentral:rRNA from 1 species